GAUGAACGCUGACAGAAUGCUUAACACAUGCAAGUCUUUGGCGAAGCUGUUCUUGCACUGCCUAGCCACGUCGGACGGGUGAGUAACGCGUAAGGAACUUCCCCUUCUGUCAUUUAUAACAGACGCAAACGACUGAUAAUACCUGGUUAAGUCAGGCGCACUCAUGUUCAGCCUGAUGAAAAGUGAUGCGGCACGAGAGUCUUGCGUCCUAUUAUCUUGUUGGUGGGUUAACGGCACACCAAGCCGAUGAUCGGUAGCCGGCCGGAGAGGGUGGACGGCCAAAAGGGGAAUGAGAGACGGCACUGAGGACUACGGGAGGAAGGAGUGGGGAAUAGUGGACAAAGGGGGCAACCGUGAUGAAGGAAUUCUGUGUGCAAGAUGAAGGUUUUCGGAUUGUAAAGUGCUUUCAGAAGGGAAGAAAAAAAUGACGGUACCUGAAGAAGAAGCGACGGCUAAAUACGUG
rnacentral:rRNA from 1 species